rnacentral:lncRNA from 1 species
GCCCGGGCCACUGCGGACUCUGAGCGCCUUUGCGCCGGGACCUGCGGUGCCCAGAGGCCGCCCCGCGUGCCCGGCCCGAGGGCGGGCACCGGUAAGGGAGGGCCCAGGUCAGGGCUUCCCGCCAGCGUUCGUCCCGGCCCCGCAGCUUCCUGCGCCGGAGCGGCCCAGAGGCAGAGGCCUGAGCUGGAGCACACGCCAGGAGGGCUAAGGUUCCCGGGAGAGGGGUCGAGAAGGCAGCAGGGUCCUCCCGCCGCUGAGGUUUGGCCUCGGGAGCAGCAGAUGGUCGGCGGGAGCUCAACCCGAAACGCAGAAGGGGUGUUUUGCUGGUCAGGGAACUUUCCACUCUUAACCUCCUUGAACUCAACCCCCAACUUCUGGGAGGAGCUCAGCCCGCACCCCUCCGGGCUGCCAGGAGGAGAGGCACCUGCAGUCCCCUGUAACAAAAGCACUGCUGAGGACUCAAGACCUUGGGCAUAGGCAGGGCCUGAAGGAAUCGCCCAGUACACACCCAGGCUGGUGUCUGCUCGGUGCCUGACGAGUGACUGAGUUACUGCCAGCCUCUGCACAGCCUGGCCAGGGAGGUGCCAACCGGCUUCCUCCACAGCCACAGGCAAGACUGUUGACCACUGCCCUGCCCCCACUGGCACAGCAAAAGUAGGGGAGGGGCAGAAGACAACACGGGGUCAAGGGCACCCCACAGAACACCACAAACAGCCUUAGCAGGACACUCACACCCAGGAAGCAGAGGGAUGGCCACUCAAGCAAGCUGGGGGUCCUCUGAGGUGCCCUCAGGCUGGGCUGCCGCGCGUGCUCUUUGAAGUGUGUAGCUGACAUGCAUCUCAGCUGCCCUUUAACCUGUGUAAAAUCAAGGGUCUUGUCCUGUGAGUCUCGUCCAGAUCAGCUCCAGGGAGAUGAUCUAUCACUGCUUUCCAUCUUCUACUUUCCAUCCGACCCUUGGGCUGUGUCCCAAAAGCCAAUGAUUCGAUAGGAGAAACUCUAGGAUUUCAGAUGUCCAGUACGUGAACAAAAGAGGGGUCCAUUCUGCACCCACCGCCUCUACCACAACUCCCACUGGUAGAGCUGGUUCACAUUUCAAAAGAAUCACCAUUUUUUCAAAUGUCAGAUUUCUUUAUUAAAAUGUGCACAUUAUAGUUUACUUAAAUACAAAAUGUUCACUUUCC